GGGAUCUAUGGAUAAAUGGAUUGUUAGAGGAAUGAAAGGAUGAAUGAUAGAUAUAAAUAGAUUUAUGAACAGAUGAUAGAAUGAAUGGAUGGAUGGAUGGAUGGAUGAAUGAAUGAUAUUGAUGAAUAUGCUAUGCAUGAAUGGGUGUGAAUGAAUCAUAUUGAUGAAUAUGCUAUACAUGAAUAGAUGAAUGAUUUUUAUGAAUGGAUGUAACGGCGUCUCGGUUGUCUUUUGAAAUCUUUAGGAGUAAUUCGUUGAAGGUUGAUUCUUGUGUGGAUGAAUGAUACUAGUGAAAGAUAAAAUGAGGCUAUUAUACUUGGAUGGAUGGUAAAAUUGUACGUAAGAUGGGAACACCCACCAGAUAAGCACGUAGUGAUUGAUUCCUACUCCUCUGUGAUAAAAAAAAUGUCUAUAAACGUUAAAGAGGCACAUUUGUUCCAUGAGGUAACUUUACACCAUGUUAAAACAGUUUUUGCAAGGCAUCAAAGAGUAAAAUAGUCAUAUUUAACGGUAAGGAUUCUUGAAUUUUAGACAGGCAGUGUUGAUGAAAGGGGUCAGGGGUCUAACGUUUGAAGUUUAAAUUUCUUUGAGCCCAUUUCGUCCCUGAUUCUAACUAUUUUCUAACAUGAGUCUUGUUAAAAGAAAAAGUUCCCUAUUGGACCCCCCCUAGUUCUGGUUCAGUGUUAGGCCUGAAAGCGCUGAGCUACCGCACCUCGUCCUAGCAGCAUUUUCUUGCAAGCACUGGUACUAGGAAUAUUGGAACUAAUUAAAAUAUCGAUGCUUAUCUUAAGGAGCGAUGCAUUAAUGUGUCGGAAUAAG
rnacentral:lncRNA from 1 species